UGAAGGAACAUGAAGCAACGUGAGGUUCACUUCGUUCUUCCUCACACUCACUCUUGGGAGUUCACAGAAGAAACAGGCGACAGACCUAGCCGCACCGGUUCGUCACCAGUUGCGGCGAUUCAAAAUCGUCCAAGCUCUCACACAGCUCUCCGACAUCUCUCCUAACCGAGACGCAACACCUCUCCACCUAAACCAAAUGAAUCGCUAACGUGAGAUUUCUACAUGGAUCGAAUCGAGCGUCAAAUCGGAACAAGGAAUCGGAAUCGAACAAGCAUCUCACCACAACAAAUUAAUCGACUAACGCUAAGAAAUGAGGGGGCUUGCCGGUGAUGGCGAAGGUGAAUCCUCCAGUGAAUGUCGGAUUCGAAGCUCAGGUACUUGCUCUUCGUGCUAGUUGAUUCUUCGAUUUCUUGUCACGAGUUUAUUCUGUUACGUGGCUAAGCUUUUGGUUUCGCGAUUGCUCGGUUUCAUGAUGAACUGUGAUUCUUCUUCUUGAAUAUUCACUGGAAUUGGUGGUGCGGUAAGAGCUGUGAGAUGAAGAAUUUUGUGUGGUGAAGAAUGAAGAAAUUAGUGAAAAAAAUGGAACUCGCGAGCCCUUUUUUGAAUGGAGAAGAUGAUGGAUGAUUUAUAGGGAUUGAAGUUUUAACAGAGUUAGGAUUCUGUUAGCAUCACCAGGCUCAAAUUGGUUUUAUGCCGCUUCCAUUUGGCUUUGGAUUCAAGUCGUCGUUUUAAGAUGCGGCGUUCGCGUUUGUAGAUGGUGUUUAAUGUGCUGUUGUGCUGUCGUCGGUUGGCUUUGCAGCGGCUUUUGAUGUUAUUGCUGUUUGGCUUGUCGUAUUGAUCUGCAGCGACCUGUCUUUGUUGUGUUCAUGCAGCGACCUGUCUUUGUUGUGUUCAUGGCUAUCACUGAAACCGAUAGGAUCUUCUGCACUAGAUGUAGUAGCUACAAUUGAAUAAAUGAAUUCAGUUAGAAAUUGAGUUAAAUUUGGGUUACUAGCCGUGACAUUUUUCUCUUAGAAAUGGUAGAAACCUUAUUUUCAUCA